rnacentral:rRNA from 1 species
CAAUUGGAGGGCAAGUCUGGUGUCAGCAGCCGCGGUAAUUCCAGCUCCAAUAGCGUAUAUAAAAGUUGUUGCGGUUAAAAAGCUCGUAGUUGGAUCUGUGUCCCGCACCGUCGGUUCACCGCCCGACGGUGUCAAACUGACGCGAUGCGGGACGUCCUGCCGGUGGCGUGUCUAGCUGGCGGCUUUCGGGUCGUUGGGCGGCGCCGAUUCAAUCCUGUCGCGGUGCUCUUCAUUGAGUGUCGAGGUGGGCCGGCACUUUUACUUUGAACAAAUUAGAGUGCUUCAAGCAGGCUGGAUAUUGCCUGAAUGCUAGUGCAUGGAAUAAUGGAAUAGGACCUCGGUUCUAUUUUGUUGGUUUUCAGAACCAGAGGUAAUGAUUAAUGGAGACAGGCGGGGGCAUUCGUAUUGCGACGUUAGAGGUGAAAUUCUUGGAUCGUCGCAAGACGGACCGAAGCGAAAGCAUUUGCCAAGGAUGUUCUCGUUGAUCAAGAACGAAAGUUAGAGGUUCGAAGGCGAUCAGAUACCGCCCUAGUUCUAACCAUAAACGAUGUUGACUAGCCAUCCGAUAAAGGUUCUUUUUAUGCCUUAUCGGGCAGCUUCCGGGAAACCAAAGUUUUUGAAUUCCGGGGGAAGUAUGGUUGCAAAGCUGAAACUUAAAGGAAUUGACGGAAGGGCACUACCAGGAGUGGAGCCUGCGGUUCAAUUUGACCCAACACGGGAAAGCUCACCAGGCCCGGACAUUGGAAGGAUUGACAGAUCGAUAGCUCUUUCUCGAUUCAUUGGGUAGUGGUGCAUGGCCGUUCCUAGUUGGUGGACUGAUUUGUCUGGUUAAUUCUGAUAACGAACGAGACUCUAACCUAUUAACUAGACGAUAUACCGGUAUAAAAACCCUACCGGCGAGAUUUAUUCUUCUUAAGGGGACUGGCGGCUCUCAGCCGCACGAGAUUGAGCAAUAACAGGUCAGUGAUGCCCUC